GAUGAACGCUGGCGGCGUGCUUAACACAUGCAAGUCGAACGGAAAGGCCCAAGCUUGCUUGGGUCCUCGAGUGGCGAACGGGUGAGUAACACGUGGGCGACCUGCCCUGCACUUCGGGAUAAGCUUGGGAAACUGGGUCUAAUACCGGAUAGGACCCCUUCUUGGAUGGUGUGGUGGAAAGCUUUCUCGGUGUGGGAUGAGCACGCGGCCUAUCAGCUUGUUGGUGGGGUCAUGGCCUACCACGGCGUCGACGGGUAGCCGCCCCGAGAGGGUGUACGGCCAGAGCGAGACUGAGAAAGGGGCCGCAGUCGGGGAGGAGGCAGGAGAGGGGGAUGUCGCAUAACGGGCGCAAGCCUGGGGAAGCAACGCCGCGGGGGGGAGGAGGCCUUUCGGGGGGUAAACUCCUGACGCGAGGGAGGAAGCGCUUUUGUGACGGUACCUGGAGAAGAAGCACCGGCUAACUUCGUG
rnacentral:rRNA from 1 species